rnacentral:lncRNA from 1 species
UCUAAAGAUGCCUUGGGCUCGGGAGAAACAGCAGUGGAAAGAAAUCACAAAACAGUAGGAGAGAAUAAGGGAAACAAUAACAGAAGGACGAGAGAGCUAAAGUGACCCUGGAGAGACUCGCACACAUCAAGGGGGUACGUGGUCGAGUGAGCCCCAAGCACUGAAAGGUGAACCCCUAAGCCACAUUCUGUGGAAGGUGUCCCAGAAGGAGACUCUGAACUCAGCAAGGACAGGCAAGAGAGACAGACUACUUCUUCGUUCAUGUACACUUGAAUUCUAUUGUGUUGAAACCUGGACAAGCUCUCAACAUUGCCAGAGGCAUCUGAAAAUACCUUGGCCCUGAAGAGCAAAUGAGGUGAAAGAGCAGGCAAGUACUCCCAUCGGCCUUUAAAGCGGGGAAAAGUUCGUGCUGGCGAAACAUGAUUUUCGAGAAUUAUCCUGGACUGUGACCCGUCAGACCUGUCGCUCUUCCUGACAUGCUAGCAGGCUUCCUCCUCUGUGGGCUAGGAUAAAAAGUAGAAGAAAGAAGAAUUUUCUGGCUCACUAUUGUGGAAAGCCAGGGCAUCCAUUUCGAAAUGCAAUUAAACAGUUGGCACACUUGAACAUGUAGUAAGUAUUUCUAUCAAAGAGCAUAGAAGAGUUGAUAAAGCAGUGAAAAGAAUCCACUGAGCCCAAGAUAGGAGACUUAAAAGUCAUAGUAAAUUAAUCUUGAAAGAA